rnacentral:rRNA from 1 species
UACGUAGGGUGCGAGCGUUAAUCGGAAUUACUGGGCGUAAAGCGUGCGCAGGCGGUUUUGCAAGACAGAUGUGAAAUCCCCGGGCUUAACCUGGGAACUGCAUUUGUGACUGCAAGGCUAGAGUGUGUCAGAGGGAGGUGGAAUUCCGCGUGUAGCAGUGAAAUGCGUAGAGAUGCGGAGGAACACCGAUGGCGAAGGCAGCCUCCUGGGAUAACACUGACGCUCAUGCACGAAAGCGUGGGGAGCAAACAGG